AGACCCGAAACCCGGUGAUCUAGCCAUGGGCAGGUUGAAGGUUGGGUAACACUAACUGGAGGACCGAACCGACUAAUGUUGAAAAAUUAGCGGAUGACCUGUGGCUGGGGGUGAAAGGCCAAUCAAACCGGGAGAUAGCUGGUUCUCCCCGAAAGCUAUUUAGGUAGCGCCUCGUGAAUUCAUCUCCGGGGGUAGAGCACUGUUUCGGCUAGGGGGUCAUCCCGACUUACCAACCCGAUGCAAACUGCGAAUACCGGAGAAUGUUAUCACGGGAGACACACGGCGGGUGCUAACGUCCGUCGUGAAGAGGGAAACAACCCAGACCGCCAGCUAAGGUCCCAAAGUCAUGGUUAAGUGGGAAACGAUGUGGGAAGGCCCAGACAGCCAGGAUGUUGGCUUAGAAGCAGCCAUCAUUUAAAGAAAGCGUAAUAGCUCACUGGUCGAGUCGGCCUGCGCGGAAGAUGUAACGGGGCUAAACCAUGCACCGAAGCUGCGGCAGCGACACUGUGUGUUGUUGGGUAGGGGAGCGUUCUGUAAGCCUGUGAAGGUGGCCUGUGAGGGUUGCUGGAGGUAUCAGAAGUGCGAAUGCUGACAUAAGUA
rnacentral:rRNA from 1 species